rnacentral:rRNA from 1 species
AUUGAACGCUGGCGGCAGGCCUAACACAUGCAAGUCGAACGGUAACAGGCAACAGCUUGCUGUUUCGCUGACGAGUGGCGGACGGGUGAGUCAUGUCUGGGAAACUGCCUGCUGGAGGGGGAUAACUACUGGAAACGGUAGCUACUACCUCAUAACGUCUCAUGCCCAAAGAGGGUGACCUUCGGGCCUCUUGCCAUCGGAUGUGCCCAGAUGGUCUUAGCUGGUAGGUGGGGUAACGUCUCACCUAGGUGACGAUCCCUCGCUGGUCUGAGAGUAUGACCGGCCACACGGGAGCGGAGACACGGUCAAGACGACUAAGGGAGGCAGCAGUGGGGAAUAUUGCACAAUGGGGGCAAGCCUGAUGCAGCCAGGCCGCGUGUAUGAAGAAGGCCUUCGGGUUGUAAAGUACUUUCAGCGGGGAGGAAGGGAGUAAAGUUAAUACCUUUGCUCAUUGACGUUACCCGCAGAAGAAGCACCGGCUAACUCCGUG